GCCUGGCGCGGUGGCGCAUGUGUGUAGUCCCAUCUACUCAGGCGGCUGAGGCUGGUGGAUCACUUGUGUCCAGGAGUUUUGGGCUGUAGUGCGCUAUGCCAAUCAGGUGUCUGCACUAAGUUCGGCAUCAGUAUGGUGACCUCCUGGAAGUGGGGGACCACCAGGUUGCCUAAGGAGGGGUGUAACGGCCCAGGUCGGAAAUGGAGCAGGUGAAAACUCCUAUGCUGAUCAGUAGUGGGAUUGCGCCUGUGAAUAGCCACUGCACUCUAGCCUGGGCAACAUAGAGAGACCCUGUGUCUU
ensembl:misc_RNA Metazoa_SRP Metazoan signal recognition particle RNA